rnacentral:misc_RNA from 1 species
AAAUGCGAUAAGUAAUGUGAAUUGCAGAAUUCAGUGAAUCAUCGAAUCUUUGAACGCACCUUGCGCUCCUUGGUAUUCCUUGGAGCAUGCCUGUUUGAGUAUCAUGAAAUCUUCAAAGUAAAUCUUUUGUUAACUCAAUUGGUUUCUACUUUGGUAUUGGAGGUCUUUGCAGCUUCACACCUGCUCCUCUUUGUUCAUUAGCUGGAUCUCAGUGUUAUGCUUGGUUCCACUCGGCGUGAUAAGUUAUCUAUCGCUGAGGACACUGUAAAAGGUGGCCAAGGUAAAUGCAGAUGAACCGCUUCUAAUAGUCCAUUGACUUGGACAAUACUUUUAUGAUCUGAUCUCAAAUCAGGUAGGACUACCCGCUGGACUUAAGC